CGAACGAACCUUCGGGUUAGUGGCGGACGGGUGAGUAACGCGUAGGGAUGUGCCUAUGGGUACGGAAUAACCAUUGGAAACGAUGGCUAAUACCGUAUACGCCCCAAGGGGGAAAGCUCCGGCGCCCAUGGAGCAACCUGCGUCCGAUUAGCUUGUUGGUGAGGUAAUGGCUCACCAAGGCGACGAUCGGUAGCUGGUCUGAGAGGAUGGUCAGCCACACUGGGACUGAGACACGGCCCAGACUCC
rnacentral:rRNA from 1 species